GGCCGCGGGCGCGGUCACGUGAGGCGCGCGCCAUGGCGGCUCCGGCGGACGGCGCCGACCUGGAGACCUCGCUGCUGAGCUUCGAGAAGCUGGACCGCGCCUCCCCGGACCUGUGGCCCGAGCAGCUGCCCGGGGUUGCCGAGUUCGCCGCCUCCUUCAAAAGCCCCAUUACAAGUUCUCCCCCCAAGUGGAUGGCUGAAUUAGAAAAUGAUGAUAUUGAUAUGUUGAAGGAGCUGGGGAGCCUUACUACAGCUAAUCUGAUGGAAAAAGUUCGUGGCCUGCAGAACCUGGCUUAUCAACUGGGACUGGAUGAAUAGAGAAGAUGUAACUCUUUCCCUGCUUUGGGGGUCAAAGGGAUCAGAUCUUUGGUCGUACAAGAUACUGGCUGCAGCUAGAGAAAUGACUCGAGGGAAAUUCCUGAACAUCCUAGAGAAACCCAAAAAGUAGCUGCAUCUAACAUUUGGAUGAAAAUACCCCAACUAAGUCAUUUUAUGCACUGCAGAUCCUGAUGAAGCCCAGAAAUCUAAGAAGAACAAAGCUCUUGCUCUAGACCUUCAGAAGCAAGCAUCUCUUUUUGCUUCCACAGCUCUCAUCUCUUUAUGGAGGAAAUGUACAAUAUGCCCAGGUCAUAGGGACUGCAGUUGGUUGCAUUGGAAUUCGGACUUCAUCUGACCACAGGAUGUCCAACAGGAGGACAUGCUGUGACACAGUUAGCUGUUUCAAUCAAAGUGAACAGCCAGUGUCCUUAUUCAGCUGCUCUCAGGGGUAGCCUGUUUGAGGUGCACAGCAGAUCUGGCAUUGGCCAGUGUUCAUUAUGAGGUCUUGUCUUUUGUCUUAGAUGCCUUGAUUUCCUGUGUGUGAUGUCUGUGCUGAAGGAUUUGAGCAUAGUUUGGGGUGUAGAUCUACCAGGAGCUCUGGCUCAGCAGGAGCACAUACUUUUAGUGUAGAAGCAAAGUGCAGUCUCUGCAUUCGAUUCCAGUUGCCCAUUGCCUUCAGAGAAGCACAUCUGGUACCCCGAGGAAGAGCUCCAGACCGUCGGUGUGCCAGGAGCUUCAUGUCACCGCUGAGUGGCUCUCUAAGUGAAACUGAAACUAACAGACCACAGGAUUAAGAAGUGUUACUGUCUCAUGGAAGGUACCCUCACUGAAGCUUUGGCCAGUACACAAAGAAACAGCUUUGUUAUUCCUCUUCAGUUCUUUGCUUUUUGCAGGGCUAAAAACUGGAAAGAGUUCUAGAGUUGAAAGAUGGUAGUGUUUUCAGCUAUCACUCCAAGAAGUUGCAUCAGGACUGUUAGCCACAUUGUGAAGAUGGUCUGCCUAUACAGGAUCUCAACGUUUCUGAAAAUAAUGUUUUGUGGUAUAUUUAAUUGCUUAUAAACCAGCACCUCAAAAUUUUCUUCUCCUACAAAACCAGAAUUUUUAAGAUAGAAACUUCUGUGAGCUGCUUCCUUUCAGAACUCUGAUUCUGGUUUAAUGUCUUUUUCUUCUGUUCAUGCACUGCUACAUACUCCCUAUACCCCUUGGAAGAGGUAUAGAGCAUGUUCAGAAUUUUUGUUUUAUUUAAGAGAAUUUUUAUUCAUUCCAUCCUUUUUCCUUUUCCUAGAAAAAAACAUUUUAAGCAUUAGCUCUUUUUUAAGCUACAACAGGAUACAUGUUCUUUUUAGGAUACAUGUUCUUGUUUAGGCUACAACAUAAUGUUGAAACAUAACAUAAUGUUAUUUUUACUAUGCAGGCUUUUCAAAAUGUGUAAUUUCUCAGGCUGUAGUCACAUAGGAGGGGAGAAAUUAUUUGGAAAUAAUACAUGUAACAGGCUGUCCUUACAGCACUGCAUUUUUCUGGCUUUGCAGAGAGAGAAGACUCUUUUUGAGUGUGUGUGCAAUAAAGAGGGGGAGAUUUUCUGGAUCAAAUAGACUUCUGAGUUUUACUGAAUUGCUGGUGAUGCUUUGGUUUACAGUCUGUGUUUUUUUGUUACUGCCAGUGAGAACUAGGCUUGUUUUGGACUGCUCUGGUUAACUAAGUUUAAGUAGUUAAAUCCUACAUCCUGGAAGAACCCUGCACAAAUGUAGAAAUAUCAGGAGCCUGAUUUAAGGCUUAACAGAGUUAUUUCUGUCCUUCACAGUUUAUGCAGGGCUGAGCUUAACAAGAACUCCAUCCCUUGAGAACAUGAGAAUUAAGACAGAUAAAUGAGAAGCUGAAAGUGCUAGUUCAGGAACAGAAAAAAAACUGAUGGUGCAAACUGAUGUUGAUGUAACUUUAAGCAUUGAAUUAUAGAUUUGGAUGAAAAUUUAAGUUUGUAUACUAUAUAUGUAAUAUAUGUACAUAUAUAUGACAUAAUGGGAUACUUCAUCUGUAUCACCAGUGUUUUAUUGAGGUUUCUUUGUCCAACACAUUAAGGAAUUGAGAUCUGAAAGCAGGAUAUAAGAAAAUAUAUGAAAGCCUGUCCUGGAAGUAUAUAUGUAUCUUCUGACAUGUGCAGUAAGAAAUUUCAAACUCUAGGUGGUUUAAAAAAAAAAUAAUUUUUUUUUGUUAUACACAGUAAUCAUCUUCUAUAGGGCAGCCAUUAACAUAUGCUUUAGAAUAGUGAUAUUUUUUGAUUUUGUACUUAUCAUCUGUAGAGAUGAGUAAAUUAUGCUAUGUUUUAUUGACAAUAUUUAUAUGUAUUUUUGUGUGUUAGCCAGAGAAUUUUUUUCUGUCUGUUAUUGCUUUUUGGUUUAAUAAUAUGCAAGUGCAAACCUCAGAGAUUUGUCUGGGUUUCCAAAAUGGCUCUCUGAGAUGCGAAAGCUUUUGCUUAGCCACUUAGGCAAUACUAUUCCUCAGGCUCUUCUUCACUUAUCUGCAUGACAUCUACUCAAGGUUUGGCCUGUGGAUGUUCCAUUUCCAUCAGUAAAUAAAUAUUUGUAAAUAUCCAAAUGCUACUAAGGGUUCUCGUACCCUUUCGAACACAAUUUUUUCCUUCAGUUCUAUACUUCCUGAAAUCCAUAUUAUUACCUAUCUGUACAAGAAAAUCUGAGUGACUUUUUAUUACUGAUGGGAAUGAAGAGUUUAAGAAAAUCAAGAUUUGGUAAUAUUAAUCAAGCUGAUGCAUUCUUUUAUAAAGUGUUUUCCUGUAUUGGUAUAUUACUGUGAGUUUCUGGGAUGUAAACUCAGUAUUUAUUUGGUUCCUUUUAAAUGCCAGUGUUACACACAUUCAGUUAUAAAAGCUAUUCACUUCAAUCUUGGACUAUCAAAUGCUUUGCUAUCUAAUCCCACUGAGAAGAAAUUCCUGUUUGUUAUGUGAAUCGCUAUCAAAAUAAAAGUCUGUGUGCACUGGCAAUUGA